UAUCUAUUACCUCUAUGUCUCUAUAUUACUUGAUUUUUCAGAUUUGUGAUGCAAUCAUUGUUCAAGCAUCACAAAUUUGGCAAUCAUACUACCAUAAAUCUAAGCUAACAGUGAAGACGAAGGCUGCUACCAUCAUCGUUUAUAUUUCCAGGGACCAAAUGGCUUAUUUGAAGGAGGUUCAAAUGGCUUGGCACUUGAAAUGUCAAGUAAGUGUUCUUAAACUUUAAAUUAAGUUAUGCUCUACAGUGUUAAGUUUAUGCAAUCCAUCCUCAGUUACGAAAUUAUUGGAGGAGAUGGAGAGCAUAAACAGAAUCGGAAAGCAAUAGGGAUGCAAAAAUGAAGCUUCAUUUAAAGAUGGAAUAACCAAAGCUCUGGAUACAUUGAAGACAAUGAAUCAGAAAAUAAGACAUCAAUCAAAGAAACUAAAAGCAGCAUGGUGAUCUAAGCAAAUAGGAUGGAAUAACCCAAGCUCUGGUGGAAUUGUAGAGAAUCAAGCAGAAAAUAAGACAUCAAUCAAAGAAACUAAAAGCAGCAUGGGGAUCUAAGCAAAUAGUUUUUGGUGGACACCAGCAUGGACCAAAAUUGGAUUUGAGAGUUGCAAACACAGUAAAAGAAGAACUUGCAAAUAGGCACUUCAUAGACCCUUACUGCUCUCACCCGGAUUGCCCUGAGCUGGUGUUCCGGCUUGAUAUUCUUGACAGCAAUGAACAUGCUUGGCAUCUUGACAGACCAAUACUAUUUCGAAAAGGAAGUAAACUGAACUUAAUGUGUGAAGGAUUUUUGCCAUGAAGAACCAGGGUAUUUAUACAGGUUCAUAAUUCAAAUUUACCAUUGAUUUUGAGCAACAGCCAAUGUUUUGGAAUUCGCACAUCUCAUUGAAUGUGUAUUUGCAGAUUGCAACUCUGCAUAUUCCGUGUAAUAUAUAUAAUAUUCUCUUGUUAUUUACUUGCAUGUAUCUUCGAAAUUGUA